AGCAGUGUAGUCUAGUGGAAGGAGCACUGGCCUGGGAGCCAGAAGGACCUGGGUUCUAAUCUCAGCUCUGCCA
rnacentral:tRNA from 1 species